rnacentral:tRNA from 3 species
GGGCGUGUAGCUCAGCUGGUUAGAGCGCACGAUUCACAUUCGUGAGGUCGACGGUUCAAGUCCGUCCAUGCCCA